AUCAGGUCCUAUUCUAAUCACAGUCAUUCCGAUAAUACUCGGCCUACUGUUACUUAUCGGAUAUACUGCAUCUGGAAAAGAAAGAUAUUAAAAGGGUGCUGUGUAUCCACCUCAGGGAGUCCAGAAGAGGAGGGCUCUGUGGUGUAGCCUACUCUGUCAGACCCUGCAUUUCACCUUCUUCCCCAUU